GACGAACGCUGGCGGCGUGCCUAAUACAUGCAAGUCGAGCGAAUCGAUGGGAGCUUGCUCCCUGAGAUUAGCGGCGGACGGGUGAGUAACACGUGGGUAACCUGCCUGUAAGACUGGGAUAACUUCGGGAAACCGGAGCUAAUACCGGAUAAUUUCUUUUCUCGCAUGAGGAGAGAUGGAAAGAUGGUUCUGCUAUCACUUACAGAUGGACCCGCGGCGCAUUAACUAGUUGGUGAGGUAACGGCUCACCAAGGCGACGAUGCGUAGCCGACCUGAGAGGGUGAUCGGCCACACUGGGACUGAGACACGGCCCAGACUCCUACGGGAGGCAGCAGUAGGGAAUCUUCUGCAAUGGACGAAAGUCUGACCGAGCAACGCCGCGUGAGCGAUGAAGGCCUUCGGGUCGUAAAGCUCUGUUGUCAGAGAAGAACAGGUACCGGAGUAACUGCCGGUACCUUGACGGUACCUGACCAGAAAGCCACGGCUAACUACGUGCCAGCCGCCGCCGUAAGAC
rnacentral:rRNA from 1 species